CGUGAGUAACCUGCCUUGGAGUGGGGAAUAACACAGUGAAAACUAGUGCUAAUACCGCAUAAUGCAUUUGGGUCGCAUGAUUCUGAAUGCCAAAGAUUUAUCGCUCUGAGAUGGACUCGCGUCUGAUUAGCUAGUUGGCGGGGUAACGGCCCACCAAGGCGACGAUCAGUAGCCGGACUGAGAGGUUGGCCGGCCACAUUGGGACUGAGACACGGCCCAG
rnacentral:rRNA from 1 species